UGUAAUGGGUUCUGGAGAGAUGCUUCACUUCUAUGGACUUCCAUCCGCCAUUCUUGGGGAAGAUGAAGAGUGACCUUGGGGUAUUUUGUGAGCAGGCUGAGUGAUCACUGUGGAGAAAAUGUGGGAACUCCUGUUUUUCCCUGAGGCUCUACCAACUAAGCUGAGCUUACACUGAAGUCAGACCAUGCCCGGAUGCUGAAGCUGGUCUGUGGGUCAGGAAAAUGCUACCGCCACAGGUUCUAGAACACAACGCUACACUUCUAGGUCUUCAUCAAGUUUGCUUGUUUACUUUGCACUUCCCAGGACCCUCUGACUUUGGCUUGUUUAUUUCUGUAUAAUUGACGAUGAGACCUACAGUUCUGUGUUGCUCUUCAUUGUUGGAAGAAAAUCAGAAUUUAAAUACCGCCCUGUCAAACUCCAUGCUUUUGUGAACCAAUAGUUAAUGACUCAUAAAAAAUGAUUCACCAGAUUUUGUAGCACUUGGGGAAGUAGGGAGAGAUAGAGCUCUUCUACUAGAAUUUAGAUAUCUAAUCCCUUUUUUAUUUGGAUAUCCAAAGAUAUAUAUGUAUAUAUCAAUAUAGAUUGAUUAUGAUUGAUAGAUGAUAGAUCAAUAGAUAGAUAUAUUUUAAUGUCAAAGUAUUCUAUUGCAUUCUGUCGUCACAAACAAUGCUUUAUGUCAA